AACGGCGAGUGAAGCGGCAACAGCUCAAAUUUGAAAUCUGGCUCUUUCAGGGUCCGAGUUGUAAUUUGUAGAAGAUGUUUCGAGUGUGGCUCCGGUCUAAGUUCCUUGGAACAGGACGUCAUAGAGGGUGAGAAUCCCGUAUGUGACUGGUUGCCUUCGCUCAUGUGAAACUCUUUCGACGAGUCGAGUUGUUUGGGAAUGCAGCUCAAAAUGGGUGGUAAAUUUCAUCUAAAGCUAAAUAUUGGCCAGAGACCGAUAGCGCACAAGUAGAGUGAUCGAAAGAUGAAAAGCACUUUGGAAAGAGAGUUAAACAGUACGUGAAAUUGUUGAAAGGGAAGCGCUUGCAACCAGACUUGCGCGUAGUUGAUCAUCCGGGGUUCUCCCCGGUGCACUCGAUUACGCUCAGGCCAGCAUCGGUUUGGGUGGUUGGAUAAAGGCCUUGGGAAUGUGGCUUCCUUCGGGGAGUGUUAUAGCCCUCGGUGCAAUGCAGCCUAUCCGGACCGAGGACCGCGCUUCGGCUAGGAUGCUGGCGUAAUGGUUGUAAGCGACCCGUCUUG
rnacentral:rRNA from 1 species